rnacentral:rRNA from 1 species
AUUGAACGCUGGCGGCAGGCCUAACACAUGCAAGUCGAGCGAGCGGCGGACGGGUGAGUAAUGUCCGGGAAACUGCCUGAUGGAGGGGGAUAACUACUGGAAACGGUAGCUAAUACUGCAUACCAUCAGAUGUGCCCAGAUGGGAUUAGCUGGUAGGUGGGGUAACGGCCCACCAAGGCGACGAUCCCUAGCUGGUCUGAGAGGAUGAUCAGUCACACUGGAACGGAGACACGGUCCAGACUCCUACGGGAGGCAGCAGUGGGGAAUAUUGGACAAUGGGCGAAAGCCUGAUCCAGCCAUGCCGCGUGUGUGAAGAAGGUCUUCGGAUUGUAAAGCACUUUAAGUUGGGAGGCGGUACCAACAGAAUAAGCACCGGCUAACUACGUGCCAGCAGCCGCGGUAAUUC